UGGGCGUGUGUUCGAUCAGAAGAAGAGAAAGAAAAGGGGUCAAACCCUAGAACACCAAAAUCUAUCAAAUUGAAAGGGGAAUUGAAGCCUAGUUGAAUGCAUGAACUAAGAAUGAUGAUCAUCUAAGCAUACCCAACAUCAAGAUAGGAAACCCCAAAUUGGCAUGGACUCAAGUAUGGAAGGCUAACGGAUCAAGAGGAAAUGAGGAAGCUAUGCACAAACUUGGAUGCACGAGGAAUGAGAAUGUCGGAUUCUUAUGAAGUCGAAGCCGAACUCGGAACAAGAGACUUAGAGAGAAUAGUCGAAUGAAUCGAAGCUAUAUUGUCGAACAUUAUACGAAAGUUAAUUGUGUGAGAAUAUUGUUGUAUGAGGUUGUUAAUGACUAAUGAUUAAGUUGUAUGUGAUAUUCACAGGUACCAUACGGAUUUCUUCUUCUACUAACAAAGAUGAGCGGACGAGGAUCGAGUCAAGAGCAAGGAUUGUACGGGAAGGAUCGGUCACAUAGUUUAACAAAUGUAGGUCCAAAGUAUUAAUAUAAUGGAACGUAGUAAAUACUUUUUAAUGAGUGUAUGACAUUGGUAUUCGAACUUUCCUGUAAGUACUAUGUCUAUUAAAGAACGAAAUUUUGGGUUCAUAUU